CAUCCCUCAUCGGUGCGCUGUACGCCGCUAGUCGGAAAACUCAAUGUACAAAUGCCCCUCAGCACAGCGAGCUCAUGCCACGGCGAUAGUCACUUGUAACACUUGAAAUAAAGGAGUGUCACUUUUGACGGAUAUCUAUGACUCCGGAACACAUGGAAUUGAACGGAGAUGCUGACACAAACAGAGAAGAGGUUCCUCUGGCCAGGCGUAGGGGGCACAGGAGAGAGCCACUGAACAUGAACCACUAUGCCAGUAAGAAGAGUGCUGCAGAGAGCAUGCUGGAUGUGGCUCUGCUCAUGGCCAAUGCCUCCCAACUGAAGGCUGUGCUGGAGCAGGGCUCUGAAUUAAACCUCUACAUCCCCCUCAUCAUUCUCAUUAGCAUCUCCCUCAUCCUGCAGGUCAUUGUGGGGGUCCUUCUCAUAUUCAUAGUUAAGUGGAAUCUGAACGACCUGAGCAAGCAGUUCCAACUCAAUGUGUUGGAGAAUAUCACCACUGGAAUGAUCUUCGUCAUCGUGGUUGUAAAUGUCUUCAUCACAGCCUUUGGUGUACAGCAGACCCACUAAAAUACCUCGCAACAGGACAGAAAUGAAAAACAUGCUGUCUAGCAGUCACACAGACAUGAAGAAAAACCCAAGGCUGUAUUUUGUCUCAUAAAUAUUGAUGGUGGAGACCCAGAAAACCCUGCAGAGCAUAACCACUAUUAUCAUCAUAUUCCUACCUGAAAGCCAAUGCAGAUAUUGGAAGUGCACGUCUUUCAGUAAUGAGUCAUUAUUUGCGUGGAAAGAUCAGGUUUCACACUGUGCUUGGGGGAGAAAUACAACUUAAACUGAAAACUUGGAGCAAUAGAUUAUUCCAGUAUAAACGUAUUUGAACUUGAAUACACUUGUGUACGGUCAUCUCAUUUCCUUUUUGCUGUAUCUUAAAUGUGGAAAUGGAAACAACUUCCAUUAUCUGUUCUGUCUGUUUCCUGUGUAUUAAACCUUAUACAGUUAUGUUAUACAGUAAUGUUAUAGACCAUGCACACAAAGUUAUAUUUAGGAUUGGUAUAUACCUCAAUCAUAACAACCACUUUUUAAAAUGAGAAUUGUUUUAUAAUAAAGUUUUUUAAAAACUUUCUUGACUUGAAUUGUUGAAUCACUGCCUUCUGCAAUAUUGAAAUGGUGAGUACAAGUUGCCAGAGGGAUGAACAAACAGUGCUGGGACCAAUUCCAUU